rnacentral:rRNA from 1 species
GUCUACAGUCGUGUCACCCUGAACGUGCCCGAUCUCAUCUGAUCUUGGAAGGUAAGCAGAGUCGGGCCUGGUUAGUACUUGGAUGGGAGACCACUUAGGAAUACCAGGUGUUGUAGGCA